rnacentral:rRNA from 1 species
GAUGAACGCUGGCGGCGUGCCUAAUACAUGCAAGUCGAGCGAACGGACGAGAAGCUUGCUUCUCUGAUGUUAGCGGCGGACGGGUGAGUAACACGUGGAUAACCUACCUAUAAGACUGGGAUAACUUCGGGAAACCGGAGCUAAUACCGGAUGAUAUUUUGAACCGCAUGGUUCAAAAGUGAAAGACGGUCUUGCUGUCACUUAUAGAUGGAUCCGCGCUGCAUUAGCUAGUUGGUAAGGUAACGGCUUACCAAGGCAACGAUGCAUAGCCGACCUGCGAGGGGGAUCGGCCACACUGGAACUGAGACACGGUCCAGACGCCUACGGGAGGCAGCAGUAGGGAAUCUUCCGCAAUGGGCGAAAGCCUGACGGAGCAACGCCGCGUGAGUGAUGAAGGUCUUCGGAUCGUAAAACUCUGUUAUGAGGGAAGAACAUAUGUGUAAGUAACUGUGCACAUCGUGACGGUACCUAAUCAGAAAGCCACGGCUAACUACGUG